rnacentral:lncRNA from 1 species
GAAAUUUCUUUAACUUCCUGUGCUUUUGGUGGUGUCCAAGAGAAAGCUAAAGAACAAUUUUGGGGAGUUUCAUGUUUUGGAGCCAUGAACCAGCCAUUGCACUGAACUUGAAAGUUUUUCCUCAGAACCCUGAUCUGGGUGUUCAUCCACAGCCAUCUCCUGCUUUGCUGAGCUGUUUCCUUGUUUGCAGAAAUCAGCACAGAACCACGCAGAAGGCAGUGUGGCUGCGGUGCAAUGCUGCAUUUGGAAGUGGUGGGCUGAAGACCCAGAAGACCUGCAAGUGAAUGGAGGCUCGGAU